AGUGAACGCUGGCGGUAGGCCUAACACAUGCAAGUCGAACGGCAGCACAGUAAGAGCUUGCUCUUACGGGUGGCGAGUGGCGGACGGGUGAGGAAUACAUCGGAAUCUACUUUUUCGUGGGGGAUAACGUAGGGAAACUUACGCUAAUACCGCAUACGACCUACGGGUGAAAGCAGGGGAUCUUCGGACCUUGCGCGAUUGAAUGAGCCGAUGUCGGAUUAGCUAGUUGGCGGGGUAAAGGCCCACCAAGGCGACGAUCCGUAGCUGGUCUGAGAGGAUGAUCAGCCACACUGGAACUGAGACACGGUACAGACUCCUACGGGAGGCAGCAGUGGGGAAUAUUGGACAAUGGGUGCAAGCAUGAUCCAGCCAUACCGCGUGGGUGAAGAAGGCCUUCGGGUUGUAAAGCCCUUUUGUUGGGAAAGAAAAGCAGCAGGUUAAUACCCCGCUGUUCUGACGGUACCCAAAGAAUAAGCACCGGCUAACUUCGUG
rnacentral:rRNA from 1 species